rnacentral:rRNA from 1 species
AGUGAACGCUGGCGGUAGGCCUAACACAUGCAAGUCGAACGGCAGCACAGUAAGAGCUUGCUCUUACGGGUGGCGAGUGGCGGACGGGUGAGGAAUACAUCGGAAUCUACUUUUUCGUGGGGGAUAACGUAGGGAAACUUACGCUAAUACCGCAUACGACCUACGGGUGAAAGCAGGGGAUCUUCGGACCUUGCGCGAUUGAAUGAGCCGAUGUCGGAUUAGCUAGUUGGUGGGGUAAAGGCCCACCAAGGCGACGAUCCGUAGCUGGUCUGAGAGGAUGAUCAGCCACACUGGAACUGAGACACGGUCCAGACUCCUACGAGAGGCAGCAGUGGGGAAUAUUGGACAAUGGGCGCAAGCCUGAUCCAGCCAUACCGCGUGGGUGAAGAAGGCCUUCGGGUUGUAAAGCCCUUUUGUUGGGAAAGAAAAGCAGCAGGUUAAUACCCCGCUGUUCUGACGGUGCCCAAAGAAUAAGCACCGGCUAACUUCGUG